rnacentral:rRNA from 1 species
CAGUCGCCGCGGGAAUACGGAGGGUGCAAGCGUUAUCCGGAUUUAUUGGGUUUAAAGGGUCCGUAGGCGGAUCUGUAAGUCAGUGGUGAAAUCUCAUAGCUUAACUGUGAAACUGCCAUUGAUACUGCAGGUCUUGAGUAAAUUUGAAGUGGCUGGAAUAAGUAGUGUAGCGGUGAAAUGCAUAGAUAUUACUUAGAACACCAAUUGCGAAGGCAGGUCACUAAGAUUUAACUGACGCUGAUGGACGAAAGCGUGGGGAGCGAACAGGAUUAGAUACCCCUGUAGUCCCUGUCUCUUAUAC